CCAGACGGCCGGAUGACCGCCGCCAAAUUCGCCUCGCGGAUGGGGUGGAGGAAAGUCCGGGCUCCACGGGAAUACGGAGCCGGGUAACGCCCGGCGGGGGCGACCCCAGGGAAAGUGCCACAGAAAGCAAACCGCCCGCCCGGCAUCGGCGCUUGCGCCGCAGCGGUGGGUAAGGGUGAAAGGGUGCGGUAAGAGCGCACCGCGCCGCCGGCGACGGCGGCGGCAUGGUAAACCCCUCCGGGAGCAAGACCAAAUAGGGGCGGUAGGCUCGAUUCACGGCAAUCGGGCAGGCGGAUUCCCGCGUCACCGCCCGGGUCGGUCGCUAGAGGCGUGCGGUAACGGGCGCCCCAGAGGAAUGGUCAUCGCCCGCAUAUGUUAACCAUAUGCGGGGCACAGAACCCGGCUUACAGGCCGCCUGGCGCU
rnacentral:RNase_P_RNA from 1 species